rnacentral:rRNA from 1 species
AACGUAGGUGGCGAGCGUUAUCCGGAUUUACUGGGCGUAAAGCGUGUGCAGGCGGGGAUACAAGUGGUGUAUGAAAUUUCCCGGCUUAACCGGGAAGGGUUAUGCCAGACUGUAUUUCUGGAGUGCGAGAGAGGGGCGUGGAAUUCCGGGUGUAGCGGUGAAAUGUGUAGAGAUCCGGAGGAACACCAGUGGUGCAGACGGCGCCCUGGGUCCGAACUGACGCUGAAGCACGAAAGCGUGGGGAGCGAACGGG